GACGAACGCUGGCGGCGUGCUUAACACAUGCAAGUCGAACGGAAAGGCCUGUCCUUCCUUGUGUUGGACGGGUACUCGAGUGGCGAACGGGUGAGUAACACGUGAGUGAUCUGCCCCCAACUUGGGUAUAAGCCUGGGAAACUGGGUCUAAUUCCCGAUAGGACUGCAGGGUGGUGCCUGUGGUGGAAAACGAUUUUCUAGUGGUUGGGGAUGAGCUCGCGGCCUAUCAGCUUGUUGGUGGGGUAAUGGCCUACCAAGGCGGCGACGGGUAGCCGGCCUGAGAGGGUGGACGGCCACAGUGGGACUGAGAUACGGCCCAGACUCCUAAGGGAGGCAGCAGUGGGGAAUAUUGCACAAUGGGCGGAAGCCUGAUGCAGCGACGCCGCGUGGGGGAUGACGGCCUUCGGGUUGUAAACUCCUUUCGACCGCGAGGAAGCCGCCUGGUUGGAAGGGUGGUGACGGUAGUGGUAGAAGAAGCACCGGCUAACUACGUG
rnacentral:rRNA from 1 species